rnacentral:rRNA from 1 species
GACGAACGCUGGCGGCGUGCUUAACACAUGCAAGUCGAACGGAAAGGCCCCCUUGUGGGGUACUCGAGUGGCGAACGGGUGGGUAACACGUGAGUAACCUACCCUUGACUUUGGGAUAACUUCAGGAAACUGGGGCUAAUACCGGAUAGGAGCUCCUGCUGCAUGGUGGGGGUUGGAAAGUUUCGGCGGUUGGGGAUGGACUGGCGGCUUAUCAGCUUGUUGGUGGGGUAGUGGCUCACCAAGGCUUUGACGGGUGGGCGGCCUGUGAGGGGGACCGGCCACAUUGGGACUGAGAUACGGACCAGACUCCUACGGGAGGCAGCAGUGGGGAAUAUUGCACAAUGGGCGGAAGCCUGAUGCAGCAACGCCGCGUGCGGGAUGACGGCCUUCGGGUUGUAAACCGCUUUCGCCUGUGACGAAGCGUGAGUGACGGUAAUGGGUAAAGAAGCACCGGCUAACUACGUG